CGACGAACUUCUUUAUCACCGAGUGCUUGCACUCACCGAUAAAGAGUUGAGUGGCGAACGGGUGAGUAACACGUGGGCAACCUGCCCAAAAGAGGGGGAUAACACUUGGAAACAGGUGCUAAUACCGCAUAACCAUAGUUACCGCAUGGUAACUAUGUAAAAGGUGGCUAUGCUACCGCUUUUGGAUGGGCCCGCGACGCAUUAGCUAGUUGGUGGGGUAAAGGCUUACCAAGGCAAUGAUGCGUAGCCGAACUGAGAGGUUGAUCGGCCACAUUGGGACUGAGACACGGCCCAAACUCCUACGGGAGGCAGCAGUAGGGAAUCUUCCACAAUGGGCGAAAGCCUGAUGGAGCAACGCCGCGUGGGUGAAGAAGGUCUUCGGAUCGUAAACCCUGUUGUUAGAGAAGAAAGUGCGUGAGAGUAACUGUUCACGUUUCGACGGUAUCUAACCAGAAAGCCACGGCUAACUACGUGCCAGCAGCCGCGGUAAUACGUAGGUGGCAAGCGUUAUCCGGAUUUAUUGGGCGUAAAGAGAACGCAGGCGGUCUUUUAAGUCUGAUGUGAAAGCCUUCGGCUUAACCGGAGUAGUGCAUUGGAAACUGGGAGACUUGAGUGCAGAAGAGGAGAGUGGAACUCCAUGUGUAGCGGUGAAAUGCGUAGAUAUAUGGAAGAACACCAGUGGCGAAAGCGGCUCUCUGGUCUGUAACUGACGCUGAGGUUCGAAAGCGUGGGUAGCAAACAGGAUUAGAUACCCUGGUAGUCCACGCCGUAAACGAUGAAUGCUAAGUGUUGGAGGGUUUC
rnacentral:rRNA from 1 species